UACAGAGGGCUCAAGCGUUGUUCGGAUUCAUUGGGCGUAAAGGGUGCGUAGGCGGCGCGGUAAGUCGGGUGUGAAAUCUCGGAGCUUAACUCCGAAACUGCAUUCGAUACUGCCGUGCUUGAGGACUGGAGAGGAGACUGGAAUUUACGGUGUAGCGGUGAAAUGCGUAGAUAUCGUAAGGAAGACCAGUGGCGAAGGCGGGUCUCUGGGCCUUACCUGACGCUCAGGCGCGAAAGCUAGGGGAGCAAACAGG
rnacentral:rRNA from 1 species